AUGGAAACACUCAGCAAAUAUUUGAAAGGAAUGCCCAGAGUGUACAGUACCACAGAGGAAAUGAACACGGCCGGUGGGCGAGGAGCCAUGGCAACAAACAAACACCACAGCCUCCUCAGGCGGGCCCUUGGUGGUGAAGCACCCAGGAUGACUCACGUCUCCUGUGCCCUUUCUUCCCUGAUCUGUGCCACCCUCCGUCUGCUCUUCUCUCUUCUGGGGCAUUCUCGCCCAUCAAGACCUGCCGUGGAGACUCUACCUUCCCCGGGGGAUGCUACAGUGUCAUCUGAAAGAGACUUAAGUGGCCAGGCACCCAGAGGCCUACAGGAAAUACACAGAGAUCUCUAAAACUACCAGCCGAAGUCAGUCUUUUCCCCUUUAAGUGGCUGCUCCAGCUGUUCUGUGGUGAAAAUCUAACUCAUGAAGGAAUUCCUCAAUUCCAGUUGUUUGCUUUCUCACGGACCUGGUCAGGGUUAACUGAAGUAAGUAAGGUCACACUGUGGCUCGGGUGAGGUGGCUGGGGUCCCCUUUUCCUGCUGUGUCUCUUAUCUGCACCAAGCAGCUGCCAGGACAUUCUCCUCAGAAUCUUCCUGAAGCAAACUGGAGGCAUGGUGCGGUCUUUAAGACCCCAGAAACAACCCCCUGAGCAAAAGGGAGGGAGGACCCUCUAGAAAAGAAAACAUUAAUCACACAUUUUAUUUACAAAGGCAACAUGACAACAGCAUUAGGUAAUGUUUAAUAACCGCUUUAUUGCCGUGUAAUUUACCACCAUAAAAUUCACCCUUCUACAGAGGACAACUCAGUGGAUGUACUCACUGGGUCCUGCAAUCAUCUCCAUCAAACUCAGAGCAUCUUCCUGCUUCCCCAAGAAGAGUACCCAGCAGCAGCCAUUUCUACCCACCCCCAACUCUCCCCCUCCCCCUUUUUUCCUGCUUCAAGCAAUUACAAAGUUACUUUCUGUCUCUUGAUUGUAUAAACAAAAUGAUAGUCUACCUGUAUUUUGGGUUUAGCUCCCUUUCUAUCGUAGAAUAUUUUCAGAGUUUAUCUAGGUGGUAGCAUGGACUAAUGCUUAGCCCUUUUAAUGGCUGAAUUAUAUUCUACUGUAGGCAACUAAUAGUUUGUUCAUUCGUAUGUCAACUGAUGGACUUUUUGGCUAUUACAAAUAACACUGAUUUAA